GACUCUCGGCAACGGAUAUCUCGGCUCUCGCAUCGAUGAAGAACGUAGCGAAAUGCGAUACUUGGUGUGAAUUGCAGAAUCCCGUGAACCAUCGAGUCUUUGAACGCAAGUUGCGCCCGAGGCCUCCUGGUCGAGGGCACGUCUGCCUGGUGUCA
rnacentral:rRNA from 1 species